rnacentral:misc_RNA from 1 species
CAGAGUUCUCGCCCGUCCGGGUAGAUCUCCCACCCACUGUGAUUGCUACCGUGUUGCUUUGGCGGGCUGCUGGGCCUAGCCCGGCCGCCGGCUCCGGCUGGCGCGCCCGCCAGAGGCCCGACAAAUUCUGAUUGUCAGUGUCGUCUGAGUACUAUAUCUUAAUAGUUA